AACGAACGCUGGCGGCAGGCUUAACACAUGCAAGUCGAACGCCCCGCAAGGGGAGUGGCAGACGGGUGAGUAACGCGUGGGAAUCUACCCAGUUCUACGGAACAACUGAGGGAAACUUCAGCUAAUACCGUAUACGACCUUCGGGUGAAAGAUUCAUCGCCGAGGGAAGGGCCCGCGUCCGAUUAGGUAGUUGGUGGGGUAACGGCCUACCAAGCCGACGAUCGGUACCUGGUCUGAGAGGAUGAUCAGGCACACUGGGACUGAGACACGGCCCAGACUCCUACGGGAGGCAGCAGUGGGGAAUAUUGGACAAUGGGCGAAAGCCUGAUCCAGCCAUGCCGCGUGAGUGAUGAAGGCCUUCGGGUUGUAAAGCUCUUUCACCCACGACGAUGAUGACGGUAGUGGGAGAAGAAGCACCGGCUAACUCUGUGCCAGCCGCCGCAGUAAUAC
rnacentral:rRNA from 1 species